rnacentral:rRNA from 1 species
UAGGGAAUCUUCCACAAUGGACGCAAGUCUGAUGGAGCAACGCCGCGUGAGUGAAGAAGGUCUUCGGAUCGUAAAGCUCUGUUGUUGGUGAAGAAGGAUAGAGGCAGUAACUGGUCUUUAUUUGACGGUAAUCAACCAGAAAGUCACGGCUAACUACGUGCCAGCAGCCGCGGUAAUACGUAGGUGGCAAGCGUUGUCCGGAUUUAUUGGGCGUAAAGCGAGCGCAGGCGGAAUGAUAAGUCUGAUGUGAAAGCCCACGGCUCAACCGUGGAACUGCAUCGGAAACUGUCAUUCUUGAGUGCAGAAGAGGAGAGUGGAACUCCAUGUGUAGCGGUGGAAUGCGUAGAUAUAUGGAAGAACACCAGUGGCGAAGGCGGCUCUCUGGUCUGCAACUGACGCUGAGGCUCGAAAGCAUGGGUAGCGAACAGGAUUAGAUACCCUGGUAGUCCAUGCCGUAAACGAUGAGCGCUAGGUGUUGGGGACUUUCCGGUCCUCAGUGCCGCAGCAAACGCAUUAAGCGCUCCGCCUGGGGAGUACGACCGCAAGGUUGGAAC